AACGAACGCUGGCGGCGCGCCUAAUACAUGCAAGUCGAGCGAGAAGGUGUAGCAAUACACUUGUAAAGCGGCGAACGGGUGAGGAAUACAUGGGUAAUCUACCAUCGAGUGGGGAAUAACCAGCCGAAAGGUUGGCUAAUACCGCGUACGCCUCCGGAUCUUCGGGUUCGGAGGGAAAGCCACACUGUGAGUGCGGCGCUCUUUGAUGAGCUCAUGUCCUAUCAGCUUGUUGGUAGGGUAACGGCCUACCAAGGCUUUGACGGGUAGCUGGUCUGAGAGGACGAUCAGCCACACUGGCACUGCGACACGGGCCAGACUCCUACGGGAGGCAGCAGUAAGGAAUAUUGCGCAAUGGGCGAAAGCCUGACGCAGCGACGCCGCGUGGGGGAUGAAGGUCUUCGGAUUGGUAAACCCCUUUCGGGAGGGAAGAUGGAGCGAGCAAUCGUUCGGACGGUACCUCCAGAAGCAGCCACGGCCAACUUCGUGCCAGCAGCCG
rnacentral:rRNA from 1 species